rnacentral:lncRNA from 1 species
UACAAGCUGCUACUCAAAUUGCUCUCAUUUAGGUUCCUGAUGUUCAUCUGUGAUCUGCAGGGAUUGCUCUGCUGCUCUGAAUUGCACCAGAGCAAUCCCAGCCAACUGAACAGACGCUCCUCUUCACUCCUCUGCUUUAUGGUGAUGAUGCCACUGCUCUUGGUUGCAACUGACUCCCAGUCCUUGGACUCCCACCCACUUCAUAAUUAAGUGCCCUACCUGAAAAGAAG